rnacentral:lncRNA from 1 species
UCUGCUGCAGGGAAACAAAGGAUUGAUGAUGGCAGCAAGAUGCAACGCCAGGGAAGUCACCAAAAACCAGGGCAGAAAAUUUUCUGCCGAUUGUCAAAAUUUUCUCGGAAGAACGGGGAAACAAUCGGGAACACCAUUUAAGUUCUAGGUCGCCCACCAGUAUAAUGCGGGAAUACGUUCAAGUUCUAGGUCGCCCACCAGUAUAAUGCGGGAAUACUUUCAAGUUCUAGGUCGCCCACCAGUAUAAUGCGGGAAUACGUUUAAGUUCUAGGUCGCCCACCAGUAUAAUGCGGGAAUACUUUUAAGUUCUAGGUCGCCCACCAGUGUAAUGCGGGAAUACAUUUAAGUUCUAGGUUGCCCACCAGUAUAAUGCGGGAAUACAUUUAAGUUCUAGGUCGCCCACCAGUAUAAUGCGGGAAUACGUU